GCGGUUAUACAAAAUAUACAAAUAAAUUUUAUUAUUUUGUAGUUAAAUUAAUAUUUUUAAAUUAAAAAUUUAUAAAUAAGGUGAAAUUUUUUAUAAGUUAAAAUUUAUGAAUAAAUUGAUUGAAGCUAUUAGAUUUAAUUUAUAAACUAGGAUUAGAUACCCUAUUAUUUUAAAGGUAAAUGAUUAAAUUAGGUAGUAAUAGUUAAAUUCUUGAAACUUAAAAAAUUUGGCGGUAUUUUAAUCUAUUUAGAGGAAUCUGUUCCAUAAUCGAUAGUCCACGAUGAAUUUUACAUAAUUUAAUUUAGUUUGUAUAUCGUCGUUAUAAGAAAAUUUUAUAAGAAAUUUAAUUUUCUAAAAUUUUUAUAAAAAUUUAUUUCAGAUCAAGGUGCAGCUUAUAAUUAUGAGGAAAUGGAUUACAAUAAAUGUAUUUAUUAUGGAUAAUAAGAUGAAUAUUUUGUUUGAAGGUGGAUUUAAUAGUAAAUUAAAUUAUAUAAUUUAAUUGAUUUUAGUUCUAAAAUAUGCACAUAUCGCCCGUCGCUCUCUUUAUUUAAAAAGAGAUAAGUCGUAACAAAGUAGAUGUACUGGAAAGUGUAUCUAGAAUGAUUCA
rnacentral:rRNA from 1 species